GAUGAACGCUGGCGGCGUGCCUAAUACAUGCAAGUAGAACGCUGAAGGCGGAGCUUGCUCUUCUGGAUGAGUUGCGAACGGGUGAGUAACGCGUAGGUAACCUGCCUGGUAGCGGGGGAUAACUAUUGGAAACGAUAGCUAAUACCGCAUGACAACAGUUAUUGCAUGAUAACUGUUUAAAAGGGGCAACUGCUCCACUACCAGAUGGACCUGCGUUGUAUUAGCUAGUUGGUGAGGUAACGGCUCACCAAGGCGACGAUACAUAGCCGACCUGAGAGGGUGAUCGGCCACACUGGGACUGAGACACGGCCCAGACUCCUACGGGAGGCAGCAGUAGGGAAUCUUCGGCAAUGGACGGAAGUCUGACCGAGCAACGCCGCGUGAGUGAAGAAGGUUUUCGGAUCGUAAAGCUCUGUUGUAAGAGAAGAACGAGUGUGAGAGUGGAAAGUUCACACUGUGACGGUAUCUUACCAGAAAGGGACGGCUAACUACGU
rnacentral:rRNA from 1 species